rfam:Perkinsus marinus ATCC 50983 gcontig_1104296248072, whole genome shotgun sequence.
GACAGCGUGUCCGAGUGGAUAAGGAGAUGGGCUUGAAGUCCAUUAGGCUCUGCCUACGCAGGUUCGAAUCCUGCCGCUGUCG